rnacentral:tmRNA from 1 species
GAGCGACCACCGUUAUCGGUGCAAAACGUACAGUUGCCAAUGACAACCGUGCUCCGGUGGCCGUCGCUGCGUAAUGCAGUUGACCUAAACCGAUUCUAAGUCCUGGCGCUUAGCCGCGUCAGGCGGGGUUCGCAGGCACCUGGCAACAGAAGCCUGCACU